UUCCGGUUGAUCCUGCCGGACCUGACUGCUAUCGGAUUGAUACUAAGCCAUGCGAGUCUUUGUAGUAAUACAAGGCAUACGGCUCAGUAACGCGUAGUCAACCUACCCUAUGGACAAGAAUAAUCUCGGGAAACUGAGCAUAAUUCUUGAUAGAUCAUAAUGCCUGGAAUGGUUUAUGGUUAAAAUGAUUCGUCGCCAUAGGAUGGGACUGCGGCCUAUCAGCUUGUUGGUGAGGUAAUGGCCCACCAAGGCGAUUACAGGUACGGGCUCUGAGAGGAGAAGCCCGGAGAUGGGUACUGAGACAAGGACCCAGGCCCUAUGGGGCGCAGCAGGCGAGAAAACUUUGCAAUGUGCGAAAGCACGACAAGGUUAGUCCGAGUGAUUUCUGCUAAAGAGAUCUUUUGCUAGUUAUAAAACCACUAGUGAAUAAGGGGUGGGCAAGUUCUGGUGUCAGCCGCCGCGGUAAAACCAGCACCUCAAGUGGUCAGGAUGAUUAUUGGGCCUAAAGCAUCCGUAGCCGGCUCUGUAAGUUUUCGGUUAAAUCUAUGCGCUCAACGUAUGGGCUGCCGAAAAUACUGUAGAGAUAGGGAGUGGGAGAGGUAGACGGUACUCGGUAGGAAGGGGUAAAAUCCUUUGAUCUAUCGAUGACCACCUGUGGCGAAGGCGGUCUACCAGAACACGUUCGACGGUGAGGGAUGAAAGCUGGGGGAGCAAACCGGAUUAGAUACCCGGGUAGUCCCAGCCGUAAACGAUGCAGACUCGAUGAUGCGUUGGCAUAUAGCCAGUGCAGUGUCGCAGGGAAGCCGUUAAGUCUGCCGCCUGGGAAGUACGUACGCAAGUAUGAAACUUAAAGGAAUUGGCGGGGGAGCACCACAAGGGGUGAAGCCUGCGGUUCAAUUGGAGUCAACGCCGGG
rnacentral:rRNA from 1 species